CAGUAGCCGCGGUAAUACGUAGGGCGCAAGCGUUAUCCGGAAUUAUUGGGCGUAAAGAGCUCGUAGGCGGUUUGUCGCGUCUGCCGUGAAAGUCCGGGGCUCAACCCCGGAUCUGCGGUGGGUACGGGCAGACUAGAGUGAUGUAGGGGAGACUGGAAUUCCUGGUGUAGCGGUGAAAUGCGCAGAUAUCAGGAGGAACACCGAUGGCGAAGGCAGGUCUCUGGGCAUUAACUGACGCUGAGGAGCGAAAGCAUGGGGAGCGAACAGGAUUAGAUACCCGGGUAGUCCCUGUCUCUUAUAA
rnacentral:rRNA from 1 species